CUGGUGUGAAACUGAAGCUGGAAUAAAAAGCGAGGCCCUGAACAUCACUAUUACUGCUGGUUCUGUAAUCUUGGAAACCCCGACCCACCCUGUGAAGGAGGGAAAUGAGGUGACCCUUAAUUGUAAAAACAAGGAAACUCAGUCAGAACACAUAACUGACUUCUACAAAGAUGGCGUCUCUAUCGGGACCUCUUAUCAAAGCAGCAUGACCAUCAAAAAUGUCUCCAAGUCUGAUGAAGGACUCUACAAGUGCAGCAUUGAUGGAGCAGGAGAAUCACCUGAGAGCUGGUUAGCUGUUAUAAAACAACAUCAUCAAGCACCUUACAAUAAGACUGAUCUUUCACAUGAAGUCCCUAAAAUAUCACAUGAUGAAGUCCCUAAAAAACACAUCCUGCUGUGGACUGUUAUCUGUGUUUUACUGGUGGAUCUGUUGUUGUUGUUGGUGGGCCUGCUUCUUCAAAGCAAAU